rnacentral:lncRNA from 1 species
UUGCAGAAUACAUGUGAACAGGGCACACAUCUGCUGCUCUCAUAAAGAAGUGCUUGACAUAUCAUGCAGCUAAAAGGACCCAGUUUAAAUGCUUGAGAAUCAUAACCAAAGGGGCACUUAGGUGACAUUGUCGCAGAUUCUCCAGAGUCUUGUUUAGGCUUGCUCUUCUGGCCAUCAUAUCCGAAGGGGCACUUAGGUGACACGGUUGCAGAUUCUCCAGAGUCUUGUUUAGGCUUGCUCUCCUGGCCAUCAUAUCCAAAGGGGCACUUAGGUGACACAGUUGCAGAUUCUCCAGAGUCUUGUUUAGGCUUGCUCUCCUGGCCAUCCUGUUGUUUAUUUUGGUCGUCACAAGGUUUCUUAAGAGUUGAAUCAUAUCCAAAGGGGCAUUUAGGUGACACCGUAGCA